rnacentral:rRNA from 1 species
UACGUAGGGUGCGAGCGUUGUCCGGAAUUAUUGGGCGUAAAGGGCUCGUAGGCGGUUUGUCGCGUCGGGAGUGAAAACACCGGGCUUAACUCGGUGCUUGCUUUCGAUACGGGCAGACUAGAGGCAUGCAGGGGAGAACGGAAUUCCUGGUGUAGCGGUGAAAUGCGCAGAUAUCGAGAGGAACACCUGCGGCGAAGGCGGGUUGCUGGGCUGACACUGACGCUGAAGCGCGAAAGCUAGGGGAGCGAACGGG